AGAGCUUAAAGACUUCGCCUGAUCGCAGCUGAAAAGCCCUUGCUCAGAAACAGGCAAGAAGCUUGAGUUUGUACCCUCUCAAAGUGAUCAGUUUGGGUACAUAAUGCAGCCUGGGUGUAAUUGCUCCCAAGCCACUGUAGAUUGAGUGCUGUAUAUCCACAUGGGACAAGAGGAUGACCUCACACCAUCUUGCCAGAAGGAAGUGCACUAAUCCAGGGAGUGGCCCUCCAGUGAUAGCAGCUCAAGAUGAUUAAAGUCCUAGUAAGAUGAAAUGACUUCUAGAAUUUGGAAAUCAACUGUGAAAUCUGGCUCUCUGAACAAGUGCUGUGAGAACAAGCCUUUCACAUAGGCAGCCCUGUAAAAACAAUUUCAAUAUUUAAAGGCUCUCAAGCCUGUCAAUUUCAUUGAUCAAUGAAUCCUUGCUGUGCUGUCAUGUUGUUGACCCUGACAAGAUCUAUACCCAUUUGUUGGCUGUUAAAGGCAGAGUCCUGGGUUAAAUUCACAAUUAAUUGACUAUUUAAAUGUUGAAAUUACUUGCCUGACAGCUCCACAAGUGUUUCCUGCUCAUCUCCAAAUAUGCACGUUAAAAACAGAAGAAGGUAGGAUAAUGUCAGGUUGUCCCCAACUGACUGGCACUCUUCAGGACUUUAACCACCCUCCCCAACCCUGCCACUGCCACCCCAGCCUGUACGCCCCUACCACCUACCAGCAGUUAAAGUUCUGCCUAAUACAACCAAUGGGUUUUUUUAAGUUUGUAAAAAUUUGUUGAAGUUACGCCAUAGUGUAACCAUUUUCGGUGACAAAAGUCCAAUUGGGUAUGCUGUUGGUAAUGUUUCGAUAGCACAUUUUCCAGACUGUGGACAAGGCUUCAAGUCAGCAUGUUCUCCUCUCAAGAGGGAGAAGAACUCAGUCAUUGAAAACCAUCUGAUGAGUAAAAUUGUUAUUUUAGGACAGCCACAAACAAAUGCAAGAGACUCAACUUCACAGCAUGUCACUGUGAAAGGUAGCAGCUCCAGUGAUACAGAAAACACUCAGCUCCAGUAUAUGUAUGACAAAGCAUGCAAAGAGUAAAUGAUUAAUCAGGACUAGAUCCCAGGCAAAAAAUUUACUAUUUUUGUACUCUAUUAGACAGGAUUAUCAUAAUUGUUGAACUUGCUGAUCUAUCCAAGCUUAUAACAGCACCAGCUUGCAUUUAUAUUGCACCAUAAUGUAGAAAAAUAUCUCUCAAUGCUUCAUGUAGACAUAAUCACAAAUAACUGAUACCAAACCAAGGAAGGCAAUAUUAGGAGAGUGACCAAAAACUUGGUCAGAAGUGGGUUUAAAGGAAGAAAGAGAGAUGCAGAGAAUUAGGAAAUGAACAAAGGUUAUCUACCACCACACCAUAACCAUUAUCUGCAUAAUUACUGUGUGUGUUCAACAAAUACAUCUUAUCUGUAGACACUACAAAGUACAUCUCUUUUUUUUUCAAUCUCAAGAAUAGACUAUGGAAACUAUAAAUAAAUUUGGACUCUCAGAUCCAUCCACGAGACUGGAAUCAUGAGAUUGGUCCAAAAUAACCAAGGCUGAAGAAAGCAUCCAACGACAUUAGGAUUGCAGGAUCCAUCCGAAAAGACAGGGCUUAUGGGAAUCAAUUUUAUGAGACUAGGACAGUGGAAACCAUCCAAAGAAAUGGAACAGUGCAAGACAUCCAGGAGAAUGAAACUGUGGGUACCAUUCAAAAAUGCCGUCAUCUAAAUAUGUCUGGGAUGUGGAAUCUAACUAAAGAGACUGGGACUGAAAAAGUGAAAACCUACAGUGUGACCAAAAACUAUCCACAGAGACUAAGAUUUUUGAAUCUGUCAAGAGAGACUGGGAAUUGGGAUACAAAAGAAACUGGAUCUGUGGGAUUCGCCCAGAGUGGGAUUGUUGGAACUGUCCAGAGAAUGGAUCUGCCAGACCAAUGCAAAAAUACUGGGACUAACCAUUUGCUCUUAGACAUUACAACUAAGCAUGAUUACACUGAACUUGUCCUCACAUUAAUUCAACAGACAGGGCUUGAUUUGGUAUCUAACAUUUUGGAAGAUAAUCCCAGUUCUGAGGCCCAAUAGUUCCUGGAUCAAUGAAUGAUUAAAUUCCAAUCUAGUGAGUUUGACAUAAACUACGACAGAAGAUAAUCUCAGUCCUGAAAGUAAAGUGUAAUUAAAGGAAUUACACAAAUGCUGACUGAAAUAUGAUGUAAUUCCAAACCAAAAACCAUUUUCAAUGAAUGCAAUGACCUUUAGGCUCUUCUCCUAUCAAUCAGAUUGUAAAUAAGUAGCUUGUCUUGAUUACAAAAUUAAAGCUGUGCAAUAAUACCACAAAUGAAAAUACCUUCAUCUCCAUCCCUGCCUGCUACACAGCUGUUUUUAAAAUUUCUUCCUGCAGGGACGGAGCUGAAUGAAUGAAUGAUUACAUUUUCAAAUAAUUCUGAACUUUGCUGCCGAGGAAGUGAAAAUAUUUAGCUUUGUGACAGAAUUUAGUAUUAAAAAAAUCAGAAGAAAGAAAUUUAGAACUCCACACUGAUUAUACACAGAGUUAUAAGAGGCCUUUUCUAAGUUGCAUAGUGACCCACUGAAUAUCAAUCAUUUAAACUGCAUGUAGCAAUUAUGUAUAUAUUAUCAGACAGUGACAGUUCAGUCAUUGCUUCCCAGUAACACCUUCUCCAACCACUCCAUAGUCUGUCAUUGAUCACAUAACAUGUCCUUUGAAUUAAGACUAAGCUAAAGCUCCACUCCCGAGUUCCUACACUGCCGUCCUGUAAUAUUUUAUUCCUACUCGACAGCCCAACUCACACUGCCUUCUCCCCUGAAACACACUGCAGAUCACUCAUUCCCUUUACUUCCAUUCCAUUGCCUAGCAUUCAGCAUGAAUUCAGCUUAAGGUUUUUUCCCCCACCAGUUGUUUCAGCUUUUCUCUUCCUCCAGUCUCUUCUGUUAAUGUUGGCCCCAGUGAUCAUAUCUUAACAUACCUUCCAGCAGAUCAAUGCCAUCCUGUCAUCAGGCACUGUAAGAAGCUUCAAACUAAAUAUAUUUUUCAGCUCUACACUAAAAUUUGAUUUAUUUGCAAUCAGGACUUUAAAGAAAAUAAUGAAUCUAUCAAUUUAACAUUUAUUAUAAAAGGAUUAUCCUAGAUCAACUAAAACUGUUUUCCAUAUUGAGAGACUGCUUAGAAAUUAUAUUGUAAUAUGCCUGUAAGCAAACGGCUUUUGUUGUUAUGUUUAAUAACAUUGUAAGCGCAUUUGUGAAAAUUUCUUCUGGUGUAUUUCCAGCAAAAUUGUAAAACUUUUAAAAGAAUUGACUUAAAA